UGCGUAGGCUGCGCCGUAAGUCAGAUGUGAAAGCUCAGGGCUCAACCCUGAAAUUGCAUCCGAUACUGCGGUGCUAGAGAAAUGAAGGGGAGUCUAGAAUUUUCGGUGUAGCAGUGAAAUGCGUAGAUAUCGAAAGGAAUACCAAAGGCGAAGGCAGGACUCUGGGCAUUUUCUGACGCUCAUGCACGAAGGCUAGGGUAGCGAACG
rnacentral:rRNA from 1 species